AUGGUGUGUGGGCUGAGCUGGCUUCUCCUGGUGGCUGUAUUAGGAGGGGUCCAGUGUGAGGUGCAGCUGGUGGAGUCUGGGGGAGACUUGGUACAGCCCGGGGGAUCCCUGAGACUCUCCUGUGCAGCCUCUGGAUUCAAUUUUGGCAACUAUUGGAUGCACUGGGUCCGCCAGGCUCCAGGGAAGGGCCUAGAGUGGGUCUCACUCAUUAGUUAUGACAGUGGUUAUAUAAGCUAUGCCAACUCUGUGAAGGGCCGAUUCACCAUAUCCAGAGAGAACAGCAAGAACACGCUCUAUCUGCAAAUGAGUAGCCUGAGGGAGGAGGACAUGGCCCUGUACUACUGUGUCAGAGACACAGUGGACUUUCAAGUUUUUCCAUUUCCUCUGCAUCCGUCAGCCAUUGUAGUGGAGAAACCAGGUCCUCUGACCCCUCCUCAGUGA